CGCUGGCAGUACUCAAAGGAAGACUCCACCCCAGGGAGGCAAAUCAAAGCCUGCCACCACCACCCAGGCUUUCUCCAAUUGGAAUCUGCAUAUGGGCCCAGGGGAGCCCGUUAUGAAAACACCUAUUUCCAUACGCUCCCAACCAACACUCUAAACAAUUUGUGCUCUUGUUGAGGAAGCCCCAUGAGAAAUUGAAAAUUUUUUUUCUGGGUGACGUUGAGAAGACCGUGACAUGAUUUGGUUGACAGCAUGCUCAACCUGAUUCGACAACGUGAUGUGACUGUUGCAAGUGAGUACUUUCAUAUUCUGAGCUAUGCUAAUAGAAGCACAAGACCAAGAAAGAGGUGGCAGUCUCUUCUCUCUGCACUCAACAGGACAUCCCAUUCAUUCCUGGGCGUCACAAUUAAGAGAGCUCUAGACAAGCUGGGAUGCACCAUAAAGAGGCCCUUAAAAUGCUGGUGAGUGGAUAUUAACAGAGUCAUGUAUGGAGCAGCCUAGGAGCACUGAGCAUGCUUGUCCUGGGUUCCUUGGAGUUGGGCAUGAUCUGAAGUCUGAAGGGGAGAAAUGGAACCCAUUAGGGAGGAGAUGCAGGGAACAGCAUUUUAGCUCUCAAGGUAGGAAGAACUUUUCAACAAGGCUAAUCACAGAUAAAAUACCCGCUUUCAAAGGAAAUGCAUUCCUGCUUACUGGAGGUGCUCAACUAUGGCUACUUGGCGGGAGGAUAUUGUAAGGAGGGACUUAAGCACGUUUUCUAAUGUCUGGAGCCAAUUAUUCUAACAGGAAAAGAUGUUCUAGAGCCUCGGAGAGCUGGGGUAGCUCUUGCCAGGCACUGUGUUUGGUCAGCGUGGAAGUCCAGUGAAGUCCAGUGUAGCAGUUGGUGUAUCGGAUCAAAAAGACCUCAGAGGGAGUUGUUACGAUGUUUAACACUACUGGCUUAGGGUUACAGGCUUCAGUCAUGGGAAAACAUGGACUUAUUCAGUCCCUUCAUUAAGGGACUGUCAAAUAACACCUUUACUUUGAAGCAGGAUGCCAGCAUUCAUCACCACUUUCUGGUUCUUAGGAGGGAUGAAGAAAGGGGCCAGGAG
ensembl:lncRNA